ACGCGCUGGUGGAAAGCGGCGCGGUGUCGGUGACCUUUCAGGACACCCACGAUAACCCGGUGUUCGAACCGCUGCCGGGCGAA
rnacentral:tRNA from 1 species